rnacentral:rRNA from 1 species
GGCUCAGGAUGAACGCUGGCGGCGUGCCUAACACAUGCAAGUCGAACGAAGAGGCCCCUUCGGGGGUACUUCAGUGGCGGACGGGUGAGUAACACGUAGGUGACCUACCCCGAAGUGGGGAAUAACAGUCCGAAAGGAUUGCUAAUACCCCAUAUGAUCGAUGAGGUUAGAGUCUUGUCGAUUAAAGCAGUAAUGUGCUUCGGGAGGGGCCUGCGCCCCAUCAGCUAGUUGGUAGGGUAAUGGCCUACCAAGGCUACAACGGGUAGGGGGCCUGAGAGGGUGACCCCCCACAUUGGCACUGACACACGGGCCAAACUCCUACGGGAGGCAGCAGUGAGGAAUAUUGCUCAAUGGGCGAAAGCCUGAAGCAGCAACGCCGCGUGCGCGAUGAAGGCCUUCGGGUCGUAAAGCGCUUUUGAGAGGGACGAGAUAGGACGGUACCUCUUGAAUAAGUCACGGCUAACUACGUGCCAGCAGCCGCGGUAAAACGUAGGUGGCAAGCGUUAUCCGGAUUCACUGGGCGUAAAGCGCGUGCAGGUGGCUCUGUAAGUUGGAUGUUAAAUCUUCCGGCCUAACCGGGAGCGGUCAUUCAAUACUGCAGGGCUUGAGGGCAGAAGAGGGGGGUGGAAUUGCCGGUGUAGUGGCGAAAUGCGUAGAUAUCGGCAGGAACACCUGUGGCGAAAGCGGCCCCCUGGUCUGCUCCUGACACUCAGACGCGAAAGCUAGGGUAGUGAACGGGAUUAGAAACCCCGGUAAUCCUAGCCGUAAACGAUGGAUGCUAGGUGUAGGUGGUAUUGACCCCAUCUGUGCCGAAGCUAACGCGUUAAGCAUCCCGCCUG